rnacentral:rRNA from 1 species
UGGUGGGUAGUUUGACUGGGGCGGUCUCCUCCUAAAGAGUAACGGAGGAGCACGAAGGUUGGCUAAUCCUGGUCGGACAUCAGGAGGUUAGUGCAAUGGCAUAAGCCAGCUUGACUGCGAGCGUGACGGCGCGAGCAGGUGCGAAAGCAGGUCAUAGUGAUCCGGUGGUUCUGAAUGGAAGGGCCAUCGCUCAACGGAUAAAAGGUACUCCGGGGAUAACAGGCUGAUACCGCCCAAGAGUUCAUAUCGACGGCGGUGUUUGGCACCUCGAUGUCGGCUCAUCACAUCCUGGGGCUGAAGUAGGUCCCAAGGGUAUGGCUGUUCGCCAUUUAAAGUGGUACGCGAGCUGGGUUUAGAACGUCGUGAGACAGUUCGGUCCCUAUCUGCCGUGGGCGCUGGAGAACUGAGGGGGGCUGCUCCUAGUACGAGAGGACCGGAGUGGACGCAUCACUGGUGUUCGGGUUGUCAUGCCAAUGGCACUGCCCGGUAGCUAAAUGCGGAAGAGAUAAGUGCUGAAAGCAUCUAAGCACGAAACUUGCCCCGAGAUGAGUUCUCCCUGAGACUUUAGGUCUCCUGAAGGAACGUUGAAGACGACGACGUUGAUAGGCCGGGUGUGUAAGCGCAGCGA